rnacentral:rRNA from 1 species
AUUGAACGCUGGCGGCAGGCCUAACACAUGCAAGUCGAGCGGAUGAAGGGAGCUUGCUCCUGGAUUCAGCGGCGGACGGGUGAGUAAUGCCUAGGAAUCUGCCUGGUAGUGUUGGAUAACGUCCGGAAACGGGCGCUAAUACCGCAUACGUCCUGAGGGAGAAAGUGGGGGAUCUUCGGACCUCACGCUAUCAGAUGAGCCUAGGUCGGAUUAGCUAGUUGGUGGGGUAAAGGCCUACCAAGGCGACGAUCCGUAACUGGUCUGAGAGGAUGAUCAGUCACACUGGAACUGAGACACGGUCCAGACUCCUACGGGAGGCAGCAGUGGGGAAUAUUGGACAAUGGGCGAAAGCCUGAUCCAGCCAUGCCGCGUGUGUGAAGAAGGUCUUCGGAUUGUAAAGCACUUUAAGUUGGAAGGAAGGGCAGUAAGUUAAUACCUUGCUGUUUUGACGUUACCAACAGAAUAAGCACCGGCUAACUUCGUG